rnacentral:rRNA from 1 species
UACAGAGGGUGCAAGCGUUGCUCGGAAUCAUUGGGCGUAAAGGGCACGUAGGUGGUCUCAUUUGUCUUGUGUGAAAUCCUUGGGCUUAACUCAAGAAGUGCGCAAGAAACGGUGAGACUCGAGUUCUGGAGAGGGUCGUGGAAUUCCCGGUGUAGCGGUGAAAUGCGUAGAGAUCGGGAGGAACACCAGAGGCGAAGGCGGCGACCUGGACAGAUACUGACACUCAACUGCGAAAGCGUGGGGAGCAAACAGG